CGAAGGGGGCUAGCGUUGUUCGGAUUUACUGGGCGUAAAGGGUGUGUAGGCGGUUUUGAGAGUCAGAGGUGAAAAUCCCAAGGCUUAACCUUGGAAUUUGCCUUUGAUACUUCAUGACGUUGAGCGUGAUAGAGGGUAACUGGAAUUCUCAGUGUAGAGGUGAAAUUCGUAGAUAUUGAGAGGAACACCAGUGGCGAAAGCGAUUACCUAGAUCAUUGCUGACGCUCAGACACGAAAGCGUGGGGAGCAAACAGGAUUAGAUACCCUGGUAGUCCACGCUGUAAACCAUGUGUGCUAGUUGUUGGAACCUUUUAGGUUGCAGUGACAUAGCUAACGCGUUAAGCACACCGCCUGGGGAGUACGGUCGCAAGAUUA
rnacentral:rRNA from 1 species